CCUACGGGAGGCAGCAGUGAGGAAUAUUGGUCAAUGGACGAGAGUCUGAACCAGCCAAGUAGCGUGAAGGAUGACUGCCCUAUGGGUUGUAAACUUCUUUUAUAUGGGAAUAAAAUGUUCCACGUGUGGGAUUUUGUAUGUACCAUAUAAAUAAGGAUCGGCUAACUCCGUGCCAGCAGCCGCGGUAAUACGGAGGAUCCGAGCGUUAUCCGGAUUUAUUGGGUUUAAAGGGAGCGUAGGUGGAUGGUUAAGUCAGUUGUGAAAGUUUGCGGCUCAACCGUAAAAUUGCAGUUGAAACUGGCAGUCUUGAGUACAGUAGAGGUGGGCGGAAUUCGUGGUGUAGCGGUGAAAUGCUUAGAUAUCACGAAGAACUCCGAUUGCGAAGGCAGUUCACUGGACUGCAACUGACACUGAGGCUCGAAAGUGUGGGUAUCAAACAGGAUUAGAUACCCCUGUAGUC
rnacentral:rRNA from 1 species